CUCUAUGCUAAACACUGGGAAGAAUUGAGAUAUGUCUCACACAUAUUUCUUGUGAAGAACAAGUCAUGCCAACAUAUCUCCAACCUGCUCAAGGAUCAAAUCAGAAGAAAGAUGGGUAUUACAGGAAACAAAAAUGCUGGACCUUUCAUUCCUAAAUACUUCAAUCAUAAGGGACAGCUGGUUGAGAUGAAGAGAAAUUCAGCAAAGAUUGAAACAAUAGGUGGAAUCAGAACUCUUGCAUUUAAUGAAGAGUCUGAUAAAGCUUACAAUAUCAGGCUGGAUAGAGACUUGAAGAAGAACAAGAUUUAUGAUCUCAGAGCUGCAAUUUAUCAAACUGGAGUUUCAGAUCCAGAGC
rnacentral:lncRNA from 1 species